rnacentral:lncRNA from 1 species
UUCCAUUACUAAUCCCUGUUUUUGUCACAUCCCCCAAAGCAAAAAACCACCAUGAAAAGACGCUUCUAACCCUCGACUUCUCGCCACCACUGUCUAGUACAGCUGGUUGAUAUAUAAUGCAUUUACUGAUCAGCUUUCGAAUGUUUGAUCUUUUAUCUGCUUUUAUUAAAAAGGGUGAUUUAAUUUUCAAUUUUGUUCGAGAGAAACAAAUGGCUUCGCUAUCGGAUGUUAAAGAUCCAUGGGCUUGUUAGAAUAAAAAGAAAAAUAAACUACAUG